rnacentral:rRNA from 1 species
AUACGGAGGGUGCAAGCGUUACUCGGAAUCACUGGGCGUAAAGCGCGCGCAGGCGGUCUUUUAAGUUGGAUGUGAAAGCCUACGGCUCAACCGUAGAACUGCAUCCAAAACUAUUAGACUAGAGUGUGGGAGAGGAAGAUGGAAUUAGUUGUGUAGGGGUAAAAUCCGUAGAGAUAACUAGGAAUACCAAAAGCGAAGGCAAUCUUCUGGAACACUACUGACGCUGAGGCGCGAAAGCGUGGGGAACAAACAGGAUUAGAAACCCUAGUAGUCC